CCUUUGUGGUUCAUAAGUGUGAUGAUUGAGUUUUCAUGCUGUUGUUGAGAUGUACCUCUUUAAGCCUUGCUAUAACACUGGCACAUUACUCAUCUGAC
rnacentral:snoRNA from 1 species